rnacentral:rRNA from 1 species
CCCUUAGAUGUUCUGGGCUGCACGCGCGCUACACUGAAGGACUCAACGUGCUUGUCUCCUUGGCCGUCAGGUCUGGGCAACCCGUUGAACCUCCUUCGUGCUAGGGAUUGGGGCUUGUAAUUAUUCCCCAUGAACGAGGAAUUCCCAGUAAGCGCGAGUCAUCAUCUCGCGUUGAUUACGUCCCUGCCCUUUGUACACACCGCCCGUCGCUACUACCGAUUGAGUGAUCCGGUGAAUCAUUCGGACUGAUGCAGUGCUCAGCUUCUGGACGCUGCGUUGGAAAGUUUCAUGAACCUUAUCACUUAGAGGAAGGAGAAGUCGUAACA